GCAAAAGCCCUAUUUAGGGCUACAAAAAAAUCCAUUGUCAAAUUUAU
rfam:Picea glauca, whole genome shotgun sequence.